AAGCCGAGGCUGGAGGUAAUUAGCAAGCAGUGGGAACAGUGUUCAGUGGACAUGGAACGGCAUAUGAUAAGGAACGGCAGGUGUAGAGCAGAAUGCGGGUGACCAAUCAAGUUCCCAUGAUAUGCCAUUCAUCCGGUGGCACUGAUGAUUGGACAUUCUUGUCAGCAAGCAAGACACAAGGGUACCAACUACUGCUGCUCAAGGGUGGCAGGGACCGCCAGGGCCUGGAGAAGCGAGAAGACCUGUUGAGGAUCAGGGUCGGGAAAAAUUACAAAACUACAUUCUAUUCCUC
rnacentral:lncRNA from 1 species